CCUACGGGAGGCAGCAGUGGGGAAUUGUUCGCAAUGGGCGCAAGCCUGACGACGCAACGCCGCGUGGAGGAUGAAGAAUUUCGGUUCGUAAACUCCUUUCGAUCGGGAAGAACAGCUCUUGAGUUAAUAGCUUGGGAGUCUGACGGUACCGAGAGAAGAAGCCCCGGCUAACUCUGCGCCAGCAGCCGCGGUAAUACAGGGGGGGUCAAGCGUUGUUCGGAAUUACUGGGCGUAAAGGGCUCGUAGGCGGCCAACUAAGUCCGACGUGAAAUCCCAAAGCUUAACUUUGGAACUGCGUCGGAUACUGGAUGGCUUGAAUUCGGGAGAGGGAUGCAGAAUUCCAGGUGUAGCGGUGAAAUGCGUAGAUAUCUGGAGGAAUACCGGUGGCGAAGGCGGCAUCCUGGACCGACAUUGACGCUGAGGAGCGAAAGCUAGGGGAGCAAACGGGGAUUAGAUACCCCGGUAGUCCUAGCCCUAAACGAUGAAUGCUUGGUGUGGCGGUAUCGAUCCUCGCGUCGCGACGCUACGCAUAAGACAUCCGCCGUCGGGUAGGUACGGUCGCGACGGCGUGAACGUUAAACGGUAAGUUAGACGGACGUGAGACGUAGCCGACGGACGACGACGACGGGAGGUUAGG
rnacentral:rRNA from 1 species